ACUUCCGCUUCCGGCAACGGCGCCGGAAGCACGGGUCCGGGCCCUCCCGCGGGGCGGGUACUCGUCUCCCGGCCGAGCGACUUCAGCUCGGGGACCUGCCCCAUGGCCGCUCCCCAGCAGGACAGGGAAACCGCCGAGGUGGGGGGCUUCUUGUCCGUCCCAGCCCCCCCAACUCAGGCCCUCUCGCUGCCCCUGGCGACCACCGCGUGCGCCCUUCCCCAGGGCGGGCGCAGUCCUGGACGCCUCCGCCGAGCGUGACUGCGUGCAUUUUCUCUCCUUUCCCUUCCCAACCUGCGGAGAGAAGACAGCCCCAGAGCCGCUGUCUCCAUCCUCUGCUGAUGCCUGCUGUCUUUAUGUUGGCCUCGUCGUCCGCACUGCAGUGUGGCAGGGGCGUCCCUCGUUUCCCGCGGACUGAGGUGGGCGCCGGGCAUUCAGUAAACGAAGAAACCAAAGCGGAGAAGGUUGGGAAUCAAACGUCUGUCAUACCUGCCACCAGCAGACAAGCGGCUUUGGGUACCUCCUGGACCCAAAGACGAACUCAGCCCCUCCAGGAGCGCAGUCAUUGGCACCCUCGUGGGAACAAUGCCAGUGGGAUGGGUGGCCACCGGAUGUUUCCGGGGCCCCUCAGAGGCCCAGCAGCGCAGGUCUUGGAGAAUGAAUGUGGGUCACUGGGCCGCGCUGCAGAGGGCCGGUCCUGAGUCGCUUCCUGGAGGAGAGGCCCAUGGCCAGCACUUGGCUUCGCCUGGAGGAAGAAGCACGUGCUAAACCACGAGCGUUCAGGGUUUGUCUGUUUGAUAAAAGAUGCUGGCUUUGACACACCAACUGACAAAGUCUUUCAUAGGUUGGAGCUGCUAGGUUGUGCCCCUGCCCCUCCUGAAAAUUAGCCACACGAAAGGAAGGGUCUGGAAGGUGGCAGGGAAGCCAGCAGAGACCAGGGAAGUGGCAGCAGCAUGGGGCAGGGGCACACAGGAAGGAGAUGGAGCUUGCGGGAGCCCCCACUGCCACUCCGACAGGGAGCCCUGCCCCGUGCCCUGCUGAUGUUGACACUGACCCCGGCUCUAUUAUUUCAGUUUUUCCUUGUAAUUUCUGAAAAUCUAGCAACAAGUUGAGCAAUGAAAAAAAGUAAAAAAGUUAAAAUUGUGUUAGAAAUUAUGACUGUAAAGAAAUUUUGAAACUAAUGAAGAAAAAAUUGCCAAAAUUGCCAAAGCUUUUAGGACUCUUAAAAAUAUAGUAACAUUGAGUAUUAUGAACUAAAGACUCAUACUAUUAUAUCAGUGUCUGGUAGUGAAUUUGGAUGGAGGACUGUCUAGUAACUUCUUAACAAA
rnacentral:lncRNA from 1 species